CCACUCAUCACUUGUGUUGUCAGUCGUCCUAUGGCUUUGUGGAUUACUAUGAUCGAAGAUCAGCUUCUCUUAAUAUUGUCAGUCUUAAUGGACGUCAUCUUUCUGGACAACCUAUCAAAGUUAAUUGGGCAUAUGCGAGCAGUUAAAGAGAGGACACGACGAAUCAUCAUGACGUACUUGUUGGGAAUUUGAGCCUUGAGGUUACAGAUGCUACAUUGUUCGCAUGCUUCUCUCCUUAUCAAACCUGCUCAGAUGCUAGAGUAAUGUGGGAUCGGAAGACUUGGGCGUUCCAGGGGUUUUGGUUUUGUUUUAUUAGAAGCUAACAG